rnacentral:rRNA from 1 species
UACGUAGGGUGCAAGCGUUGUCCGGAAUUAUUGGGCGUAAAGAGCUCGUAGGCGGUCUGUCGCGUCUGCUGUGAAAACUCGGGGCUCAACCCCGAGCCUGCAGUCGAUACGGGCAGACUAGAGUGCUGUAGGGGAGACUGGAAUUCCUGGUGGAGCGGUGAAAUGCGCAGAUAUCAGGGAGGAACACCGGUGGCGAAGGCGGGUCUCUGGGCAGUAACUGACGCUGAGGAGCGAAAGCGUGGGAGCGAACAGGA